rnacentral:rRNA from 1 species
CGGGUGAGUAACGCGUGGAUAACCUGCCUCACACUGGGGGAUAACAGUUAGAAAUGACUGCUAAUACCGCAUAAGCGCACAGUACCGCAUGGUACAGCGUGAAAAACUCCGGUGGUGUGAGAUGGAUCCGCGUCUGAUUAGCCAGUUGGCGGGGUAACGGCCCACCAAAGCGACGAUCAGUAGCCGACCUGAGAGGGUGACCGGCCACAUUGGGACUGAGACACGGCCCAA